UCAGGUGGUUAUUGCGGCGGGGUCCCCCCUCUUCCCCUUCCGAACAGAGAAGUUAAGCCCGUUUGCGCCGAUGGUACUGCAAUGCAAUGCGGGAGAGUAGGUGGCCGCCUCCU
rnacentral:rRNA from 1 species